rnacentral:rRNA from 1 species
UACGGAGGGUCCGAGCGUUAAUCGGAAUUACGUGGGACGUAAAGCGUGCGCAGGUCGGUUUUGUUAAGCGAGAUGUAGAAACGCCCCGGGCUCAACCUGGGAAUUGCAUUUCGAACUGGCGAACUAGAGUCUUGUAGAGGGGGUAGAAUUCCAGGUGUAGCGGUGAAAUGCGUAGAGAUCUGGAGGAAUACCGGUGGCGAAGGCGGCCCCCUGGACAAAGACUGACGCUCAGGCACGAAAGCGUGGGGAGCAAACAGG